rnacentral:rRNA from 1 species
AUUGAACGCUGGCGGCAUGCCUUACACAUGCAAGUCGAACGGCAGCACGGGUGCUUGUACCUGGUGGCGAGUGGCGAACGGGUGAGUAAUACAUCGGAACGUACCUUAUCGUGGGGGAUAACGCAGCGAAAGCUGUGCUAAUACCGCAUACGCCCUGAGGGGGAAAGCGGGGGAUCGCAAGACCUCGCGCGAUUAGAGCGGCCGAUGCCUGAUUAGCUUGUUGGUGGGGUAAAAGCCCACCAAGGCGACGAUCAGUAGCUGGUCUGAGAGGACGAUCAGCCACACUGGGACUGAGACACGGCCCAGACUCCUACGGGAGGCAGCAGUGGGGAAUUUUGGACAAUGGGGGCAACCCUGAUCCAGCAAUGCCGCGUGAGUGAAGAAGGCCUUCGGGUUGUAAAGCUCUUUUAGUGGGGAAGAAGCCCUCCCUGGCUAAUAUCCAGGGGGUCUGACGGUACCCACAGAAAAAGUUCCGGCUAACUACGUGCCAGCAGCCGCGGUAA